AAGAAGAAGAAGAAGAAGAAGAAGAAAAAGGAAGAAAAAAGGGAGGUGGGGGGAGGAAGAAGAAGAAAAAGAACAAGUGAUAACCCAAUUGAUUUUUCAGUCUCGUUCUAUCCUUCGAGCUUACGUCAGAUGAGAUCCGCGAUCUACAUAUCUACGUGACCGGGACUGAUGAAUGAAUCGCGGAUGCGGAAUUAGUCCCGACGACGAAUAAGAAUAAAAAAUAUAAAGAGGCGUUAAGAAGAUAACGAAGACGAUGACAGGUGCGCGCCGCGCAAUUUGAACAACUUUUAACGAGGUGGAAAGUCCAAAGACGCGAAUGGCAGCGCGCGUGCAUUAAAAUCGCAUGUCGCCGUCAACGAAUUCACUAAUCUCUUUUUCUUCCCCUCCCCUCUUCUCUUCUUUUUCCCCUUUCCUUUCUUAACAUCGUAAAACUACUAAGCUCAAGAACUUUUGGCAAAUCGAAUAUUCAAUGAUACUUACAUAAGUUUAUUCAAAUGAAACACCCUCUAUAUGCGUACAUGCGUGCGCGUACUUAUUUUAAAUAUAAUUCAAACAUACACAUAUGCAUAUAUAUAUAUAUAUAUACACCAUAUACACAUACAUACGCCACACAUACACAACAUAUAUAUAUGCCACUUCUGACGUCACGAUCACGUGGUUGAAACAAAAAAAAAAGGAAGAAAAGAAAGAAAAGAAAGAAAAGAAAAAGAAAAGA